GGUCGAGGGGAAAUCGUAACCCAUAAAGCGUCGCUACUAGUCACAGCCGCGGCAGUAAGCGUCCUGGCGUCCGUCGAGAAUGCGGUAUGCGGUGUACCUCUGCGUCAAGAUUGACACGUGGUUGCUCGAACGAUAUUCGAUACCCAGCUACGUGGUUAAAUCGAACGAUAUUAUAAAUACGUCCAUUUUACUUUUCUUUAAUGUCUCUCUCUCUUUUCCUCUUUCGUAACAUGACUAUUUUUACUUAAUUUGCAACGAUGGUUGUAAAUUGAUAAAUAUAUGUACAAUAAUAGAAUAUAAUCGAAGCAAGUGUUGUGUCUUCUUCUUCUUUGAAAACGCAUCAUUACGUUUUCGUUCUUUGUGAUGUGAAUUGCUUCGUGGGAUUGGUUGCUUACGCGCAAAGAUGAUUGCGGUGAUUUGUCACGAUUUUUCACGGAAGAUCAAGGAGGAUAAGCACAAUCCCAUCCAUUCCCUAUGUGGCCAGAGACACUUGCAUUGUCAUUGUCAGAUGGUGGACCGCAUCCUGGACUAACCCGUGAAAAACAUCAUCAAGAUUUUUUUCUAUUUUAACCUUUAAAAAGAAACCGUCUUAAAAUUCUCGUAUGAAUUUUUAAGAAUCCAUCGUUCCAUAUCGACGAAUAAUAAAAAUUAUUUUUCGAAGGAUAAAUUUCGAAAGAAACUUUUUCAACAUUGAGAAAACAAUGAUGAACACGAAGGGAACACGAUAAAUAGAUAUCUUGAUAAAAGUACAAGCGAAAUAGAAGGAUAUGUCCUGUGAGAAGGCAUCGAGACGUCUCAAGUUCUUGCUCGGCAAGGCGAGGAGAUCUGGUUUGAGCACAGAUGAGAUUGUCGACUUGCCAGCGGCCAAAAGAUUACUGUCCACCCGUGUCACUCCCUUCUCCACCGUAUGGACGAUCUUGGCUAUGCUUGCCUUAAUUCUCGGUGGUGGCGCUGUCCUAAUCUUCUUCUGCGCCCCCUGCGCCGCCAAGAGCAGAACGUGAUCGUCCAUAGAGGUCUACACAAGACAAAAUCUAUCCUUUGGCUCGCGGAGCUAAAUUAGAAAGUAUUUUUAAGAAUUGAUUUAAUUAAUUUAAGCGAGAUAUGAUUGUAAGUUUAUUAAUACUCGUAUAAAAUUGUAAUGAAAUAAUUAAACGAGAAUAAGGGAUAAUCCGUAGUGUCCGCAAUGUAAAAAAUUCAAGAAGAAACGUGAGAAGCCACGAUGUAUUGUAAAAUAGCUGCGUGACUUAGAUCUUCCAUAAUUUUAUCUUAUAUCUUGGAUAAUUUUUUAAAAAAAGGUCGACGAUUUUCGACGAUUUUUAAAAAGUUACGCGUUGUAGUGGAUAAGAAUGGUUAAAUUUGCCUCGAUAACUUCUCGAAAGAUUAUUUUUUCUAAAAUAUUAUUAGGGGACAAGUUUUUUCGUUGAUACAUACAGAGCAACCAUACGACAAUAUGGCGUAUAAAUACGAUAUUACCCAGUUUCCCAACUAUGAAACGCUACGAUGAUGAAAGGAAAUACCGUGUGGAAACGAAUUGAUUUACCCUCGAGUAAAUCGAAUUUAAUUGUCACUCAAUUAAAAUAUUGCUCAAACACAUACGAAUCAUUUUUUAAACGUUGUAUCGAAGCCAUGUAAAUUACUUUUAUAUGUGAUAAAAAUAAAUUUUUAGUAAAUUAGAAAUUAUCUGCUUUUGAUUUCUUCUUAUCGUCGAUCGUGAUAAAAUUAAUUGAACGACAAAGUGUUUCCAGAUUAUUUGUUAAAAAUUAUUCCUCUACCUUUUCCAUUACCUGUUAUGAUAAUCGAUAAUUAUCGUACAAAAUAUUAUUCUCUUAAUUAAUUUUAUAUCGUUAUAUUUCAAACAUGAAAUAAUUUAGCGAGAAAAUCUGAAAACUGAGUGCAAUUAAUUUGACUAUUAUUUUCAACAAGAUGAUAAAUCAACGCAUAUAACACGAAUUAUAAAAUAUCGGUUAAUACCCAAGUCUACUUACGAGCAAGUACAGUUAAAGCAAAAAUUGUGAAUUCUAGCGAAUGUAUAAGGAUUAGCACAUUAGGACAGUUCGAUGAGUUACUUUAAUAAUUUAUUAUUUAAAAUAUAAUAAUAAUGUCAAAUAAUUGCAAUGUCAAACGAAUUAUAAUGAGAUUAUGAUGAGAGGAUUAAUUAUAUAAUUAUAGCUAUAAAUAAAUAUUAUUUAAGCAUUUUAAUACGUAAUUACUUAAAGUAACUUUAUUGGAAAUUUUUAACUACUUACUUUUUUUAGGUUAUGUCUGUGAGUAAGCAUAGUUAGAGCAAAAAUUGUGAAUUCCUUUAGUGACGAAUUUAUAAGAAAAAAUAUAAAUUGUUCGAAAUAUUUUGAUACAAUUAUCUAAAGCGUUAAGGAAAAUCAUAAAGUUGUUAAUGACAUCGAAACGCGUGACGGCUUGUACAGAUGGCAAAAGUCUUUACCGUCUGUUCGCAUGAGCGGAAUCUUUGAUGAUCAGCUGACACGUAAUUUCCUCGCCUUCUUCCUUCAUUCUCACCGUGCAAACGGGCCAAGUUUCCUUCACGAAGGGGAUUCGAUCUUGGCCAUCUCUCGUCGUUCAAACUUAUUCCUUUCAUCCCGUGAAAUCGAACGAUUCCUCUUGGAUUUCAUCUCAACGGUGACGACUCGAGGAAGGAAACGGCUGUCUUUUCUCAAAUUCAACGAUUUUGAAUCACUUUAAUAACGUUGUCUAUUCAAAAUGAAUAUUAACGAGAAAUAUUUUGAAUAAAGGAAGAGAAGUUCAUUAAGAAUCCAUCUAAACACGAAUCGAAGGAUUAUUUGUAGUUAUGGCAGUUGUGCAGGAUCCAUUUGCUAUUCACAGACUUCCUAUUUUGGAUUUCUCCCAUUACAAACGCCAAUUUUGAUUAAGAUCUAGGUAACCAUCGAUUAUCCCCGCGGAUACUGGCCUCCUUUACGAGCAAGGUAAUACCACGGCCAUGUAUGCAUGUCCAUUUGAGAAACACGAAUCUAUUAAUCCGACAUCGAUUAGCAGACUCUCCCAUAUCGUGUUUCGCGUGUUACGGAUGUUCUAUUUGAUAUAUAUAGUGUACUCAUAUUGAUUAUAAUAUACUUCGUCACAAUAUAUUCUUAUGGAUUUAAAUGUAAAAAUUAAUUAUUAAUGUGGAAAUAAAUGUAUUCUCGUAAAUAAUUCUUAUCUAAUAUUGGAAAAAAUCUAUUAUUAUAAUCAUGAAUGUAUUCUUUUUAUUGUUAUUAAAUUGUUCAAAUAUA